UACGAAGGGUGCAAGCGUUACUCGGAAUUACUGGGCGUAAAGCGUGCGUAGGUGGUUCGUUAAGUCUGUCGUGAAAGCCCCGGGCUCAACCUGGGAAUGGCGAUGGAUACUGGCGGGCUAGAGUGCGGUAGAGGAGAGUGGAAUUCCCGGUGUAGCAGUGAAAUGCGUAGAGAUGUGGAGGAACACCGAUGGCGAAGGCAGCCCCCUGGGUUAACACUGACGCUCAGGCACGAAAGCGUGGGGAGCAAACAGG
rnacentral:rRNA from 1 species